rnacentral:lncRNA from 1 species
AGGCCGACAAGAAGAAGGUGCUGGACAAGUGCCAGGAGGUCAUUUCCUGGCUGGAUGCCAACACCUUGGCGGAGAAGGACGAGUUUGAGCACAAGAGGAAGGAGCUGGAGCAGGAGGAUGGAGAGAAGAAAAACAACAGCCUCAACAAGGAAAUAGAGUCAGAUACAAACCCUGGUCUUCUCCAGUUUUUUCCAAGCUGCUGGAAAUCUGCAGUCUUCCCAGGUCACUGCAGCUUUUGCCACUGACUUGUGAAAAAUGCUUGGCUCUAGGUUUCCUACC